rnacentral:rRNA from 1 species
UACGGGGGGGGCAAGCGUUGUUCGGAAUUACUGGGCGUAAAGGGCUCGUAGGCGGCCAACUAAGUCGGACGUGAAAUCCCCAGGCUCAACCUGGGAACUGCGUCCGAUACUGGAUGGCUUGAAUCCGGGAGAGGGAUGCAGAAUUCCAGGUGUAGCGGUGAAAUGCGUAGAUAUCGGGAGGAACACCUGUGGCGAAAGCGGCUCACUGGACCAUUACUGACGCUGAUGCACGAAAGCUAGGGGAGCAAACAGG